rnacentral:rRNA from 1 species
ACGGGUGAGUAACGCGUGGGGAACCUGCCCUAUACAGGGGGAUAACAGCUGGAAACGGCUGCUAAUACCGCAUAAGCGCACAGAAUCGCAUGAUUCGGUGUGAAAAGCUCCGGCAGUAUAGGAUGGUCCCGCGUCUGAUUAGCUGGUUGGCGGGGUAACGGCCCACCAAGGCGACGAUCAGUAGCCGGCUUGAGAGAGUGGACGGCCACAUUGGGACUGAGACACGGCCCAAACUCCUACGGGAGGCAGCAUG